rnacentral:rRNA from 1 species
GACGAACGCUGACGGCGUGCUUAACACAUGCAAGUCGAACGGAAAGGCCCUGCUUUUGUGGGGUGCUCGAGUGGCGAACGGGUGAGUAACACGUGAGUAACCUGCCCUUGACUUUGGGAUAACUUCAGGAAACUGGGGCUAAUACCGGAUAGGAGCUCCUGCUGCAUGGUGGGGGUUGGAAAGUUUCGGCGGUUGGGGAUGGACUCGCGGCUUAUCAGCUUGUUGGUGGGGUAGUGGCUUACCAAGGCUUUGACGGGUAGCCGGCCUGAGAGGGUGACCGGCCACAUUGGGACUGAGAUACGGCCCAGACUCCUACGGGAGGCAGCAGUGGGGAAUAUUGCACAAUGGGCGGAAGCCUGAUGCAGCAACGCCGCGUGCGGGAUGACGGCCUUCGGGUUGUAAACCGCUUUCGCCUGUGACGAAGCGUGAGCGACGGUAAUGGGUAAAGAAGCACCGGCUAACUACGUG